rnacentral:rRNA from 1 species
GAUGAACGCUGGCGGCGUGCCUAAUACAUGCAAGUCGAGCGAACGGACGAGAAGCUUGCUUCUCUGAUGUUAGCGGCGGACGGGUAAGGAAUACGUGGCUAACCUACCUAUAAGACUGGGGUAACGUCGGGAAACCUGAUCUAACACCGGAUAAUAUUUUGAACCGCAUGGUUCAAAAGUGCAAGACGUUCUUGCUGUCACUAAUAGAUAGUUCCGCGCUGCAUUAGCUAGUUGGUAAGGUAACGGCUUACCAAGGCUACGAUGCAUAGCCGACCUGAGAGGAUGAUCGGCCACACUGGAACUGAGACACGGUCCAGACUCCUACGGGAGGCAGCAGUAGGGAAUCUUCCGCAAUGGGCGAAAGCCUGACGGAGCAACGCCGCGUGAGUGAUGAAGGUCUUCGGAUCGUAAAACUCUGUUAUUAGGGAAGAACAUAUGUGUAAGUAACUGUGCACAUCUUGACGGUACCUAAUCAGAAAGCCACGGCUAACUACGUG